CUCCUUUUGGGCUUAGGAUAACAAUUUUCACAGCAUUUUAAAGCAAGAUCGCCAAGCCUGUCCUCUCAAAGUCUUCCACUCAGUGACUAUGAAGACCCAGUGACAGCCUCAGGCUUUAUAUAGGAUCUGAAGAUAACCAUCUCCAUCAACAGAAAUCAGAUCCUAGAUCUCCUAGAUCAGCCAGACCCCUGGAAGUCAGAGUCCAUAAUGCGGUGGUGCUGCUGGCAUGUGCCAGUGAAGAUGUGCGUGGGAUUUUUAUGUCUCUCUCUGGUUUGGAACGUAGCUUCAUGCGUAAGAAGAGAAAACAGGAAAGAAAAGCAAGUGGCAGUGCUGGCUACCGCAG